rnacentral:rRNA from 1 species
GAUGAACGCUGGCGGCGUGCCUAAUACAUGCAAGUCGAGCGAACGGACGAGAAGCUUGCUUCUCUGAUGUUAGCGGCGGAAGGGUGAGUAAAACGUGGAUAACCUACCUAUAAAACUGGGAUAACUUCGGGAAACCGGAGCUAAUACCGGAUAAUAUUUUGAACCGCAUGGUUCAAAAGUGAAAGACGGUCUUGCUGUCACUUAUAGAUGGAUCCGCGCUGCAUUAGCUAGUUGGUAAGGUAACGGCUUACCAAGGCAACGAUGCAUAGCCGACCUGAGAGGGUGAUCGGCCACACUGGAACUGAGACACGGUCCAGACUCCUACGGGAGGCAGCAGUAGGGAAUCUUCCGCAAUGGGCGAAAGCCUGACGGAGCAACGCCGCGUGAGUGAUGAAGGUCUUCGGAUCGUAAAACUCUGUUAUUAGGGAAGAACAUAUGUGUAAGUAACUGUGCACAUCUUGACGGUACCUAAUCAGAAAGCCACGGCUAACUACGUG